UGAAGGCGGCUAUUGUUCUAACAGUUUUAGCUAUUGCAGGUGUUUCAGCUAACACCUUGGGUUUCAGUAAUGUUAAGCCCUUACAUAUAAAUCCAAGAGAAGAAUUACUACCAGCUUCUAAUGAUAUUCCAAGUGGACGCAUCACUAAUGGCAAUUUGGCUGUUCCCAAACAAUUUCCAUACCAGGCCGGUUUAUUACUCUAUGUUGAAGGAGGCGCUGCUUGGUGUGGUGGCACUUUGAUUUCAGAUCGUUAUAUAGUAACUGCUGCGCAUUGUACCGAUAGCCUUACUACUGGUGUCGAUGUUUAUUUGGGUGCUUACAACCGUCUUGAUCGUAGUGAACCAGGACAACAAAUCAUUUUUACGCCUAAGAAAUACGUAACUGUACAUGAAGAGUGGGAUCCAGAAGCUAUCCGUAAUGAUAUUUCUUUAAUCAAAUUACCCGAGGCAAUUACAUUUAAUGAUUAUAUUCAACCCGCCAGCUUGCCUAAAUAUUCACCAGAUGAUGAUUAUUCAACUUAUGAAGAUC